GACGAACGCUGGCGGCGUGCCUAAUACAUGCAAGUCGAGCGAGACUCUUCGGAGUCUAGCGGCGGACGGGUGAGUAACACGUGGGCAACCUGCCUGUAAGACUGGGAUAACACCGGGAAACCGGUGCUAAUACCGGAUAAUCCUUUUCUUCUCAUGAGGAAAAGCUGAAAGACGGUUUCGGCUGUCACUUACAGAUGGGGCCGCGGCGCAUGAGCUAGUUGGUGAGGUAACGGCUCACCAAGGCGACGAUGCGUAGCCGACCUGAGAGGGUGAUCGGCCACACUGGGACUGAGACACGGCCCAGACUCCUACGGGAGGCAGCAGUAGGGAAUCUUACACAAUGGACGAAAGUCUGAUGGAGCAACGCCGCGUGAGCGAUGAAGGCCUUCGGGUCGUAAAGCUCUGUUGUUAGGGAAGAACAAGUACCGGAGUAACUGCCGGUACCUUGACGGUACCUAACCAGAAAGCCACGGCUAACUACGUGCCAGCCGCCGCAGUAAUAC
rnacentral:rRNA from 1 species